rnacentral:rRNA from 1 species
GACGAACGCUGGCGGCGUGCCUAAUACAUGCAAGUCGAACGGGUAGCAAUACCAGUGGCGCACGGGUGAGGAAUACAUAGAUAAUCUGCCUUCGAGUCGGGGAUAACCAGUCGAAAGAUUGGCUAAUACCGGAUAAGACCACAAGAUCUGCGGAUCAAGGGGUUAAAGGUUUUUCGCUUGAAGAUGAGUCUAUGCGAGAUUAGCUAGUUGGUGAGGUAAUGGCUCACCAAGGCGACGAUCUCUAACUGGUCUUAGAGGAUGAUCAGUCACACUGGAACUGAGACACGGUCCAGACUCCUACGGGAGGCAGCAGUAGGGAAUAUUGCGCAAUGGGGGAAACCCUGACGCAGCGACGCCGCGUGAGUGAUGAAGGCCUUCGGGUCGUAAAGCUCUGUCGUAUGGGAAUAACACAAUGAAUGUACCAUGCAAGAAAGGAUCGGCUAACUUCGUGCCAGCAGCCGCCGUAACAC